AGGCUAAAUACUCCUGACUGACCGAUAGUGAACCAGUACCGUGAGGGAAAGGCGAAAAGAACCCCGGCGAGGGGAGUGAAAAAGAACCUGAAACCGUGUACGUACAAGCAGUGGGAGCCUCUUAAUGAGGUGACUGCGUACCUUUUGUAUAAUGGGUCAGCGACUUAUAUUCUGUAGCAAGGUUAACCGAAUAGGGGAGCCGAAGGGAAACCGAGUCUUAACUGGGCGUUAAGUUGCAGGGUAUAGACCCGAAAC
rnacentral:rRNA from 1 species